UACGUAGGCAGCAAGCGUUGUUCGGAGUUACUGGGCGUAAAGGGUGUGUAGGCGGUUGCUUAAGUUUGGUGUGAAAUCUCCCGGCUCAACUGGGAGGGUGCGCCGAAUACUGAGUGACUCGAGUGCGGGAGAGGAAAGUGGAAUUCCUGGUGUAGCGGUGAAAUGCGUAGAUAUCAGGAGGAACACCGGUGGUGUAGACGGCUCACUGGACCGGUACUGACGCUGAUGCGCGAAAGCGUGGGGAGCAAACGGG
rnacentral:rRNA from 1 species